GAUGAACGCUGGCGGCGUGCCUAAUACAUGCAAGUCGAGCGAACUGACGAGAAGCUUGCUUCUCUGAUGUUAGCGGCGGACGGGUGAGUAACACGUGGAUAACCUACCUAUAAGACUGGGAUAACUUCGGGAAACCGGAGCUAAUACCGGAUAAUAUUUUGAACCGCAUGGUUCAAAAGUGAAAGACGGUCUUGCUGUCACUUGUAGAUGGAUCCGCGCUGCAUUAGCUAGUUGGUAAGGUAACGGCUUACCAAGGCAACGAUGCAUAGCCGACCUGAGAGGGUGAUCGGCCACACUGGAACUGAGACACGGUCCAGACUCCUACGGGAGGCAGCAGUAGGGAAUCUUCCGCAAUGGGCGAAAGCCUGACGGAGCAACGCCGCGUGAGUGAUGAAGGUCUUCGGAUCGUAAAACUCUGUUAUUAGGGAAGAACAUAUGUGUAAGUAACUGUGCACAUCUUGACGGUACCUAAUCAGAAAGCCACGGCUAACUACGUG
rnacentral:rRNA from 1 species